rnacentral:rRNA from 1 species
UACGAACUGUGCGAACGUUAUUCGGAAUCACUGGGCUUACAGGGUGCGUAGGCGGCUUUUCAGGUCAGGUGUGAAAGCCCCCGGCUCAACCGGGGAACUGCGCUUGAAACCGAAAAGCUCGACUCAGCUAGAGGUACACGGAACUUUAUGUGGAGCGGUAAAAUGUAUAGAUAUAUGAAAGAACAACAAUAUGGCGAAGGCAGUUAACUAUUCUGCUACUGACGUUGAGGCAUGAAAGCGUGGGGAGCAAAACGG